AGAGGGGGGGGAUGUAAGCUUUCUAUUAAGUCCGCCACCUCUAAGCAUCGAGAGGGCUGAAGGGUGCAUCUGAUGCAGUGCUUUGUUUCCACCAGUGGCAGAACAGCUGCCUCUGUUAAAGUCUCCAGGCACCUGGUCUUCAAAGAUAGGCUGCUGCUGAAUGUGGAGGUUCCAUCAUCUAACCAUCCUAGUUAACAGAGCUACAUAGCCCAGUCCUCUCCGGUGCAUGUUUGCUCAGAAAACUGGUGAAUGAGAUUGCAUAGUACCUGCUACGGAGUGCCAUUUUCCAUCACACAGAGACUGCCGAGGCGUGACUGACGUUGAGAACUCUCCAGCACCAUUAUUACCAGAGGCAGUGAGCUGUGAAAACAGACAUCUUUUAAAUUAGCAGCAACAAAAGGAAUAAAAUAAAAGCAUGGACACAAGAAAAUGUGACGAUGAAAUAUUUGCUGAGCCUGAUUAAUUUAACCAAUGCUUUUAGGGACAGUUGUCUCACUUGUAAACCCUAGAUUGCUAUGCUGUUGAUCUUUGGGUAUACUUCCAAUCCACAGAAAUGCCAAGAAAGUGUGUUUUAUAUUCGGUGCAUUACUAUGGUGAAAAGGAAGUAGCCAUGUUAAGAGUUUUCUAGGUGGUUAUGGCUAAGUUGAAGCUGAUUUAAUAAUUUAUACUGACAUCACAAGACUUUGGCUUGCACUGCCCUUGACAAUGCCAGUGUCUGCAGUGAAGCUUAGAUUUUGCCCAUUGACAGAUGUGUCCCAUACUGCUGCCCUGUACCACAAAAAUAUAUAGGAACCAUGAAAACUGAGCCAGGUUCUAUUUACACAACUCCAUCUCUUCAUCUGCAUAGUCCAUCACCAGUUCCAUUUGUCAUGCUUGAAUGUGACAGAAGUCUGGGAGCUGGCUUUUGUAAAUACUGAUACUAGAUCUUAGUAGUUCAAAGUAGAUGCUCCCUUCCCCUCACCCACUCUGUCUUCACCAAAUCUGGGGGGCGGGGGAGAGAUGGAAUCACACCUACCAUGCCUCCUUCCAUGUACACAGUUAAAUAGUUCCUUUGUUUGCUGCCAGUAUGAAUUAAAAUGCCAUUCAAGCUUCUUGAACGAAUCUUAAAUACAAUCCUAUAGUCCAUGCUCAAUGAGAAAGCAUUUUCUGUGAAGCAAAAAGAAUUGGGAAAACAUGUUAAAGGGAUGCCAGCUCUAUACUGUACAUUGUUACUUGCUACUGAGAUGUGUAUGUGUUCCAAGAGUCUUUUCUUUUAAGAUGGGUAUUAUAUAGUCCCCCAUUCUGUAAGAUGUCCCUGGUCCCAAAAGGGUUCUGAUUGAAUGCACAACUUCUGAAUCUCUGUUCUGACUGAAUGCACAGCUUGUGUUCAGAACCAACUAUUUCUACACCAUACUUACCGAUGACAAUAUGCCCCCCUUCAUUGAAGAAAGAGAUCCCAUUCUCCAAAACAUUAUCCAAGCAAGGCAGAACGCCGCUGUUCUGAUGGUAUGUACGCAUGUGCUUUCCUUCCACGUUAAAGUUUCUCAGGCAACCUGCAAAACUCUUUCUUGGUAUACUCUGGAAAUAUAAAUUCAACAUAAUUAUGAUAAUAUUUACUUGAACAAUGCAUCACUCCAUGCUGUCUGGCCUAGGAGCAGAUGCCUAAAUAGAUCGUGCAGUUUUUAGGCUAUCUUGAAAUGUCAAAAUUUCUAGAGCUAUAUAUAUUUUAACUUUACAAAGGAAUCAGGGUCAGGCUAGAACAUUGGUGAGGAACCUGUGGCCCUCUAGUUGUUGCAAAAUGAAACUUGUGCAUCCAUAUUUCUCAGUGGGAGUCAAGUUGGAAGGUGACAUGCCAGUGACCAUCUUGGAUGUGAGACCUAGAAGACCAGCUCCCUACCUUGCAGGCCUUUUUUACCUAGCCUGGGAGGGUGGAGCCCUGACUGACUCCAGCUACAAAAGCUGAGGCUGCUGAAGAGGCCAGAGACCAUCUUGGCUGUCUCUUAGUGCAGACCCAGGGCACUGAACCUGAGCUUCCACAGCCACCACCUGCCAUGAGCCACCAUUGGCAGAACUGGCAGCAACAGAGAUGUUCUAUGCUUCUGAUAAUAUUUUAUUCACUUGUUAAUUAUGCUGUUUUAAAAGUGCAUUUUGUAUUUGAUUUCCUUUAGUAAAGUUUUAUUUUUAAAUAUUUAAGAUAAUAUUUUUAGUUUCCUGUUAAUUAUGUUGCUUUGAAUGUAUACUUUUUAAAAGUUCCUCAGUAAUGUUUUAUUCUGGAUUGUUUUAUUUGAUGUUUUAAUGUGUUAUAAACCACUUUGAGAUUUUUUCCCUCUUAAAAAUAUAAAGUGGUAAAAAAAAUAAUGCAAUUGUCACAGAUUAGAAGUACUCCAUGUGAGAACUUUGUUGUUGUUUAGUCGUUUAGUCAUGUCUGACUCUUCGUGACCCCAUGGACCAGAGCACGCCAGGCACUCCUGUCUUCCACUGCCUCCCGCAGUUUGGUCAGACUCAUGUUAGUGUGAGAACUAGACUGCCACUAUUUUCAGGUGGUAUUCAAACACACACCAGCAAAUUCAGGUUGCGCCAUUAUAGCUGAUUGGGAUGUCUUGUGCAACAAGCCCACUUCCCCAAAAGAUUGGAUUUUUUAUGAUAAGGAAAGUGUGGGGAAAAUGCACUGGAAAACAUGGGAUACUAGCAUUGGCUAAACUUACCUCCUUGCUAACAAACUAGAAUGAAUGCUCAUUAAAUAUUGUUAUCUAAUCUGCCUACAAACAAAUCAAGAUGAAUGCUGAACAAGCAGGUCAUCUGGAAGCACCCCUGAUUUUAUGCAGCUGGAAAAAGAAAAUGUAAACUGCCUUGAGCCAACCACAUCUAAGUCCACAUCAACUGAAACAUCAGCUUUUUACCUGAAUUUUCAAUGAAGGAACCCCUCCUAGGUAGAUCGGUGACUCAGUCAUGGCAGAGAAGGAAGGCUCUGUGUUUACUUCCCGAGCUUUCAGACCAUCAACAACAAGUCGUACUCUCUUUCCAGCUCUGCUGAACACCACCUUUUCAGAAAACAAGCACAGUCUUAAACAAAUACACCCAAGUUAAAAAAAUAAAGCAGUGCCUCUUGGAGUCCUCUUGGAGUAACACAUAACUGCUUUUUUCAUUCUAAGUGGUAACAGGACUGUGCCUUUUUUAAAACUAUUUUGAAGUUUAGCAUUCUAUGGGGGACACAUAACUGACCUUCACCUGGCAUUGUCCACACAUUCUGAAAUAUAUAUUCACAAUGAUGAGGGCUGGAAGCUUCAGCUGGUGACAGCGAUGCCUGAGUGGAUGUUAAAUAAACUAAUUCGUUGCCAUGUAGUCAUCUGGCAGUUCCUUAAUGUGGAGAGUAUGAGAGAUUCUCUGUGUUUUAAAUUUCACCAGAAAUUGAUCUGAACUAACCAGCCACAGGAAGAAAGGGGAAUGAGAGGCAAAUCAUGGAUUGGGUUCCAGUCAGAUACCCUCAGCAGAUGGCAUGAAAAUAAAGUGGUUUGGACCAGUGGUUCCCAAUUAGCUAAAUACUGUGGCCCCUGUUUUUCAAAAGCCAGGACAUGGACCCCCUACUUUUGAAAAAUUUGAUACCUCUGUGGUAGUUUUUGUGGGUCUAUGACAGAGGGUUCGUGGCACAAUUCUCACGUAGGUUACGCAAACUCCCUGGGGUCCAUGGACCACCAAUUGGGAGCCACUGGUUUGGACAAUAAUUGUAUCACUAGACUUUGCUGCUUCUCCUUCCCACCAUGGCAGUGGUAGCUUUUGUUCACAAGCUGCCUCCUUCAGAGUUAGAGAUCUGUCACAAUGGCUGCCCUAUGCACUAUAUGGCUGAAUCCUUUAGCCUAGGCAGAUUUCAUACUCACAGUAUGCCACUGUCCAUCAUUGUAUUUAGCUUUGCUUUUGAUUUUUAUCUUCCUUCCAUCAGCAGCAAGUAACAGCACAAAACGCCCUUUUGAAAGGAAAAGAGCUGUGUAGCUGUUCCCCAGCUUGUCUCCCAUGAAGAAGAUCAAUCCUCUAGAUGAUGAUGUACGAACGUCCACAGCAAAAUGGGACCUUGAAUUGCAUUUUUUAAGAUCAGAGAAGAUUAACCAAUACGGAAGCAGAAAAUGCUAUGGUUAUAUUAUUAUAUUUCUCAUUAAAUUAAUAUUCAGUUGCUUCCAAGUUCCUCUCUCUUCUGUGCUCUCAAUUACUCUUUGAUGAAGGAUAUAAUUUACCACAAAGACAUCAAUAAGCUCCAAGUAUAGCCAGAUAUUUGAACCUGGAUUGCUGUAUCCAAGUCCAGAACUGAUUAUCACAUAAAUAGUCAAACAAAUGCCACAUUGCCUUAUUUAUUAUUACAAUAUGGGAUAAAAUAUGUUCCUAAGAACCCAGUCUGAAAGUACCUGUAUGAUGUCUGGGGACAUGAGACAGGGACUCGGGCAACAGAACUCAGGUGCCUUACUCUGCUCCUCUGGGACAGAUCUCAAGCUGAGGGCAUUACUGGCUUAAUCUCCAUUGUUCUGCAGCAUCAUGCAUAUGGUGACAUGAGCCAGAAAAAGCUGGUUUUCAGUUCAGUUGGGACCUUGUGACUUAAGGAACCAACUGUAACUUGACUUGCCGUACAUAAAUCUUACUCAAGUUGGGUUUCCCAGUUUGAGCAAUUCAUCCAAUGGAACAAUAGAACUGCCUUGCCACAGGUCUGUCUUUGACUACAUUUCUCCCUCUGGCAACCUGGUGCCUAGCGACCAGCCUGCCUUCCAAUUUUUUCUCUAGCCCUUGUUUGUCUGUUCCAGUGUCUGAACUCCAGCCUGUUUGUCUGCUGCCUUUGACCCAGCCCUCAUCUACUUUGCCAGACAACAGCGAGGUCUCAGCCUGAAAAUAUUCCAUGGAAUUCUAGAUGCUUUGAAAAUGUUGAGAACAACAACAACAACAAAUCCCAUUACCUGUCUCUUGAUGAUGCUUGAGAUGUUGUAAACAACAAAUGAGUGUCAGGAGUAUUGCCAAAAUGAUAUGCUCCAGUGACAAAAUUUAACUGAGCAUGUAAAGGACAGCCCUUGUUUUGCUGGAUACUUCCAUCUGUCAAAUAGGCAAUGGUUUUUUUCCUCUGGAAAAGAAAAUGUAAAUAUUUAGUACUGGCACCUCUUAAGAAUAACCUAAUACAAGGUUGGGGGUUAAUAAUUUUGCAGGAUUAUGCAUUUCCUUGAGAUCAUUGAGUGUAUUCACUCAUUUGUCGCGUCUGAAAAUUGACAUCUUGUUUUUCUCUCUGGUAUCUGUCAUAGGUCUGAGGAUAUUUUUAGAACUAUGUUUCAAAAAUCAUUGAGUCACAACUUGAGGUUUUCAAGGUUUUCAAAAGUAAAUGCUAUUCCUCUCA